AAUUUUGCGCAAUGGGCGGAAGCCUGACGCAGCGACGCCGCGUGAGGGAUGAAGGCCUUCGGGUUGUAAACCUCUUUCAGCAGGGACGAAGCGUAAGUGACGGUACCUGCAGAAGAAGCGCCGGCUCACUACGUGCCAGCAGCCGCGGUAAUACGUAGGGCGCAAGCGUUGUCCGGAAUUAUUGGGCGUAAAGAGCUCGUAGGUGGUUUGUCGCGUCUGUCGUGAAAGCCCAUGGCUUAACUGUGGGUCUGCGGUGGAUACGGGCAGGCUAGAGGCAGGUAGGGGAGAACGGAAUUCCCGGUGUAGCGGUGAAAUGCGCAGAUAUCGGGAGGAACACCGGUGGCGAAGGCGGUUCUCUGGGCCUGUACUGACGCUGAGGAGCGAAAGCGUGGGGAGCGAAC
rnacentral:rRNA from 1 species